rnacentral:rRNA from 1 species
AACGAACGCUGGCGGCAUGCCUAACACAUGCAAGUCGAACGAGACCUUCGGGUCUAGUGGCGCACGGGUGCGUAACGCGUGGGAACCUGCCCUUAGGUUCGGAAUAACUCCCCGAAAGGGGUGCCAAUACCGGAUAAUGUCUUCGGACCAAAGAUUUAUCGCCUUUGGAUGGGCCCGCGUUGGAUUAGCUAGUUGGUAGGGUAAAAGCCUACCAAGGCGACGAUCCAUAGCUGGUCUGAGAGGAUGAUCAGCCACACUGGGACUGAGACACGGCCCAGACUCCUACGGGAAGCAGCAGUGGGGAAUAUUGGACAAUGGGCGAAAGCCUGAUCCAGCAAUGCCGCGUGAGUGAUGAAGGCCUUAGGGUUGUAAAGCUCUUUUACCCGGGAUGAUAAUGACAGUACCGGGAGAAUAAGCUCCGGCUAACUCCGUG